rnacentral:misc_RNA from 1 species
AACGCACAUUGCGCCCCUUGGUAUUCCGAGGGGCAUGCCUGUUCGAGCGUCAUUAUGACCACUCAAGCCUGGCUUGGUAUUGGAGCUCGCGGUCUCGCGGCUCUUAAAAUCAGUGGCGGUGCCAUCUGGCUCUAAGCGUAGUAAUUGAUCUCGCUAUUGGGUCCGGUGGUUGCUUGCCAACAACCCCCAACUUCUAAGGUUGACCUCGGAUCAGGUAGGGAUACCCGCUGAACUUAA